rnacentral:rRNA from 1 species
GGAGCUACGUGGAUAACCGUAGGAAUUCUAGAGCUAAUACAUGCACCAGUCGCCGAGGCUCUUUGGUUAGACUUUGGCGGGAUUUAUUAGAUCAAAAACCAAUCGCCAUUCAUCACCUGAUGGAAGGCGUGGCGGGAUGAAUCACAAUAACUAAACCGAAUCGCAUGGCCGUGACUUGGCCGGCGAUAAAUCAUUCAAAUUUCUGCCCUAUCAACUUU